rnacentral:rRNA from 1 species
UGGGGAAUAUUGCACAAUGGGGGCAAGCCUGAUGCAGCCAUGCCGCGUGUGUGAAGAAGGCCUUCGGGUUGUAAAGCACUUUCAGCGAGGAGGAAGGUGGUGAGCUUAAUACGCUCAUCAAUUGACGUUACUCGCAGAAGAAGCACCGGCUAACUCCGUGCCAGCAGCCGCGGUAAUACGGAGGGUGCAAGCGUUAAUCGGAAUUACUGGGCGUAAAGCGCACGCAGGCGGUUUGUUAAGUCAGAUGUGAAAUCCCCGGGCUCAACCUGGGAACUGCAUUUGAAACUGGCAAGCUAGAGUCUCGUAGAGGGGGGUAGAAUUCCAGGUGUAGCGGUGAAAUGCGUAGAGAUCUGGAGGAAUACCGGUGGCGAAGGCGGCCCCCUGGACGAAGACUGACGCUCAGGUGCGAAAAGCGUGGGGCAGCAAACAGGAUUAGAUACCCUGGUAGUCCACGCUGU